rnacentral:lncRNA from 10 species
AUCAGCCACUGCAUUUCAGCAUUCAGUUGUUGUUCUCAAAUAAACAAAGGUAAAAAAAAUCCCAUUUGGGGAAUUAACAAAAACCAUAUCAUAUAAUCACUAAACAUUUACAUUUUGCCUUGAUGAGUAAUAUGCAACUGUAACUUCAGCAGCAGAAAGACUGCAAUAUGGUUACUGCACUGUACAGAAAUGAUCCCAUUUGACAUUUGAGCCUGGGGUUCUGCUAGUGUGACUAAAUCAACCUUCAAGUAAGCAUUUGGGGACAUCUUUGAUAUUCUUAGUCAAGUAGGAAAAGGAUUGUACAAAAUUAAGUAUUUAUAAAUAUAUAAUAUUGUAGUUAUGCAAAUUAGGUUUUGAAGAGAAUCAGAACUAAUGCAUGUAUGAGUAAUAAUGUAACGUGAAAGUAUUGAUAAUGUCCACAUGCAUGCGAACAUAAAUACCUUCUGUUAAAAUAUCAGACACAAUUAUGUGAAAGAAUGAUAUCAAAAUAAAUAAUUCUAACAGCCCCAAAUUCCAGGGAUACAUGACAGUUUCAUUGAUAACUGUCAGAAAAAUGACAUCUAAACUACAAAUUAAAUGGCUCAUUUGUUCUUUUAUGCAUCCGGAUCCUCUACAAAUAUCUCUUUUUGCCUAGAAUUGUUCUAAAUUAUAAUGUUUCCUUAACAUUUUAGACAUUUGCAGCCAUUAUGUACAAAAUGUGACAUUAGAGGUAGUUCAGUAAAAUCCCAUUUUUAUAGGAUGGGUUAGGAACAAGGUUUUUCAGUAAAAGUGAUUUUCUAGAAAAGUAGAAAUUGGCAAUUUACCUUAACAAUUCCAUUGAAAACUAAUUCCAUUCAGUGUGAAUAAGAGCUGACGAUAUAGCAUACCAGUGUUCCUUCCUUUCCUUUUAUUAACGGAUUAGAAUGCACAAAAAAACCAAUAAAACAUGCAUAAAGACAUACUGGCAUUCUUUCUUUUUCCCCUCACUAUCUUAAAAAUUGGCAUUUACAUUAAAAUAGUAAUUUGUUAGACAUGAAUUUUAUUGUAAAACUACAUAACCUACCUUUCUGGUUGUUAUGAAAAUCAAAGAAGAUAAUGUAGAUGAAUGUAAUUUUAGACACUGUAGUUCAUACCUGUAAGAGAAUCUCCCUCUAUCUUACAGGAGGGGCAUGCAACAACAUUGGCCAUGGGUUGUAAUUGUUGAAACUAGGAAAUGAAGACCUGGGGUUCCUUAUAUUAUUGGGCCUAUUUUUGCGUAUGUGUCAACAUUCCCAUGAUAAAAAAUUAAAAUAUGUAAAACAGGUUAUGUUCUACCACUUGUUUGCCAAGAUAAUACUGCUUCCAACUGCUCUUGUUUUAAGAACUACAUCAAGUGCCUGAUUUGUGCAAAAUAUUAUGGGUUGAAUGUAUCCCCUCAAAAUUCAUACAUCAAAGUCCUAACCCCCAGUACCUCAGAAUGUGACCGUAUUUGGAAACAGGGUCAUUGCAGAUGUAAGCAGUUAAGGUGA